CGCGUCGCCGUCGCCGUCGCCGUCGCCGUCGCCGUCGCCGUCGCCGUCGCCGUCGCCGUCGCCGUCGUCGUCGUCGUCCCGGUGUUCGAGCAGCGCCGCGGCGGUUUCCCUCUAUUGAUCGAAUUUGACCUGCGAAGUUUCCCUUAACGCGUGUGUGCAGUACAGUGGCGGCCGGUAGUGACUCUUUCGCGCUCGUGUUUCCGAGUCCGGUAGUGCGGUUUAAUUGCGAGCAGCCUCGGUAUGUCUUUGCCAACGGCUUGCACGCGGUUCAGUGACAAUUACGAUCUAAAGGAGGAACUCGGCAAAGGUGCCUUCUCCGUGGUUCGACGAUGUGUCCAAAAAAGCACCGGUCACGAGUUUGCUGCAAAAAUCAUAAACACCAAAAAACUUUCCAACAGAGAUUUCCAAAAGCUUGAGCGUGAAGCGCGGAUAUGUAGAAAACUGCAACAUCCAAAUAUUGUAAGAUUACAUGACAGUAUACAAGAAGAGAAUUUCCAUUAUCUUGUCUUUGAUCUAGUCACCGGCGGAGAACUGUUCGAGGACAUCGUCGCCCGGGAAUUCUACAGCGAGGCGGACGCCUCGCACUGUAUUCAACAAAUUCUGGAAAGCGUUCACCACUGCCAUCAUAACGGAGUUGUGCACCGGGAUUUGAAACCUGAAAAUUUACUCCUCGCGAGUAAGGCGAAAGGAGCGGCUGUGAAAUUAGCAGAUUUUGGUUUGGCGAUCGAAGUGCAGGGUGAAGCGCAAGCAUGGUAUGGUUUUGCUGGAACGCCCGGCUACCUCAGUCCGGAGGUGCUGAAGAAGGAGCCAUACGGGAAACCAGUCGACAUAUGGGCGUGCGGUGUCAUAUUGUACAUCCUUCUGGUCGGUUACCCACCUUUUUGGGACGAGGAUCAACAUCGGCUCUACGGGCAGAUCAAGGCCGGAUCGUACGAUUAUCCGAGUCCAGAAUGGGACACUGUCACGCCGGAAGCCAAGAAUCUUAUCAAUCAAAUGUUGACGGUGAAUCCAGGAAAGAGAAUCACUGCCCUCGAGGCACUGAAGCAUCCAUGGAUUUGCCAACGUGAGCGUGUUGCAUCUGUAGUGCACAGACAAGAGACCGUGGAUUGUUUGAAGAAAUUCAAUGCAAGGCGUAAGUUAAAGGGCGCUAUAUUGACGACCAUGCUGGCGACGCGAAACUUUUCCAGUAAGUAUGAUACACAGGGUCGAAGCAUCAUCACAAAAAAGGGCGAUGGUUCUCAAGUGAAGGAAUCUACCGAUAGCAGUACAACGCUUGAAGACGAUGAUAUUAAAGAGGAUAAGAAGGGCGGCGUCGACCGGAGCAGCACGGUCAUUGCCAAAGAACCCGAAGGUACACCUUCGAGCAGCUCCGCGACAAUGUCCGCAUUCCCCAGGGCGGUUGGCGCGGCUACAACUAUGACGAACAAAUUGGCUUCAAACCAGACCCAGACCCAGACCCAGACCCAGAUUCAGAGUACGGGCAACCCUCUCGGAAUUACCGCGGUUCUUCUUCAAGGGGCCCAAGCUGGCAACACAGGAGGUGGUAGCAGCAGCAGUAGCAGCAACAACAGCCAGAACAGCCAGGUCGGCGUGUCGCCAUCGUCGCCGGCCAGUAUCAUCCACCAAGCGAAUGGCAGCAACGAACCGAUAGCAUUGCGACGUCAGGAUUCCUCAUCCACUGCACGCCGACAGGAAAUCAUUAAGAUGACCGAGCAGUUGAUCGAGAGCAUCAACACCGGAGAUUUCGAGGCAUACACGAAAAUCUGUGAUCCACAUCUGACCGCGUUUGAACCGGAGGCUCUAGGUAAUUUAGUCGAGGGAAUGGAUUUCCACAAAUUUUACUUUGAUAAUGCAGUCCUGGGGAAAAACUGUAAGGCUGUCAAUACGACGAUCCUGAAUCCCCAUGUCCAUUUGCUCGGUGAGGAUGCCGCUUGCAUCGCGUAUGUCAGGCUGACGCAGUACAUGGACAAACAAGGCGUAGCGCAUACCCAGCAGAGCGAGGAAAGCCGUGUGUGGCACAAGAAGGACAACAAGUGGCAGAACGUGCAUUUCCAUCGAAGCGCGGUGACGGGCCCAUCCCCGUUCUCCUUCAAUCACAAAUAAAUCGGCCAAGAGGAUUGUCCUGCUGCCGUUCUCGUCAGCGCGGAAAAUUCGCGUGGUACGAUCUCAACAGGUCAUCUGCGCUGUGCGCUCCCUUCAACUUCAACUGCUUCGGAGUUCGGAGCAGACAAACAGCUGACAAUAAGAGAUCGCAUAUGCAUCUAUACAUACGUAGCUAUGAUACAAUCGCUGUGGCUAGGGGGCGCUAAUAUACAUAAUAAGGCAUCAAAAUGUGUCGUCAUAUCAAUAUUUGUGAAAGCGAGUUCCAAACUGGUCGUCGCACCAACGUGGCUUCGGUGAAGAAAGAAAGAAAGAGAAAGAAAUUAUAUAGGUAACACAAAAAUAACGCAAUAAUUUCUAUUUAUAAUAUUAAAAGAAAUUAAUAUUACAAAAAUAAUAAGCCUAUAUUUCCCCCCUUUCAACACAUACAUAUAUACGCGCGUGUGCGCAUUUUAUUUUAACAUUUUCAAAAAUGUCGUUAAAUAUUUAUUUCUUCAAUACUACUACAAUAUUCUUAUGUAACUACUUUAAUAUUCUUAUAUAAUUUUAAUGAGAAACAAUAAAUAAUUUUUAAAUGCAA
rnacentral:misc_RNA from 1 species